GACGAACGCUGGCGGCGCGCUUAACACAUGCAAGUCGAGCGAAGAGGCGGACGGGUGAGUAACACGUGAGUAACCUGCCUUAGACAUUGGGCUAGCCUCGGGAAACCGGGAUUAAUACAAAAUGGUCUAAGAUGGACUCGAGUCCUAUUAGUUAGUUGGUGAGGUAACGGCCCACCAAGGCGACGACGGGUAGCCGGCGUGGGAGGUGCAACGGCCACAUUGGAACUGAGAAACGGUCCAAACUCUACGGGAGGCAGCAGUGGGGAAUAGUGCACAAUGGAGGGAACUCUGAUGCAGUGACGCCGCGUGAACGAAGAAGGCUUUCGAGUCGUAAAGUUCUUUUAUAUGGGAAGCGGUACCAUAAGAAAAAGCCCCGGCUAACUACGUGCCAGCAGCCGCGGUAAUAC
rnacentral:rRNA from 1 species